rnacentral:lncRNA from 1 species
GCUAUAUAUGCCUUAUGCUGGAGCCUCGUUUUCGUUUCUUAAUCCGGGCAUCUAAAAUCUCCCGCUGCUCUGAGUGCUGGCUUACUGUACUAGCGUAUGGUUGCAGAUACGCCACAAUGCGACGGGUCACGACCACAGGAAAACGGGUUUCUACCAGCACAGAAGGAUAAGUAUGAUACAUUUCAAUGGAUUGACGAGAAGAGGGCCCGACUAAGCUCUUUAAAUAGUAAGCCUUCCUUUCAGGAGUCAAUUUAUUAAGUAAGUCAAAUUUUGCAGAAAGGAAGCUGAAGGAAACUACUCAAACAAACAGUCAAGAACAACCUAAAUACGUGAAGUGGGCAUGAAGUCUUCAUUAUAUGAAGCAUUUCUCUGCCAUUGGAAAUUGUUAUCUACAAUAACUUGAACCAGAAAAUCCCUCAAAGAAAAUUUCUCUCCGUUCCCGGAAAACGAAAGAAAAGACAAAAAUAGGAAAAUGAUAAGCGGUUUUGAUCUUUUUUUACAACUGUGAGAGGAUUAUGAUGUCAAAAAGGAAGAAAAUGUGUGAACAUUUUUGUGCUUGGUGACCCUUAGGUCGUGUAAAAGUAGUCCGAAAUCUGGACAUUGAUGUAUAUAUAUCUACUUACUGUUUUAUUUAUAUGUGUAUAUAUAUAUAUACAUAUAGGUAUGUAAACCUGUAUACGGCAGCAUCAAUGGAUAACUAGCAGUCUGAGUGUAAAUGACUAAAUUAUUUCAAUGACAACCUCUUAGUUAAAGAAGAGUUUGCCAAACACAUCCGUAGUGAAAUAUUUCUAACAAACUAAAACCCUCCUGAAAAGGUGUGUGAAUGUUGUUGCGAUUGUAAAUUAUAAAAGAAAAAAAUGUAAAAUUUAAAUAUAUAUAUACGUAUAUAUAUUUAUAAAAAAAAAAAGAAAAAAUUCAAAACAAGAAAAAAUACAUAUAUACGAAAAAAAAAAAGCAACAAUUGAUGUAUGUUGUAUACCCACCCCACCGAGACAAAAAAAAACUGUACGAAAUUUGUAUGAAUGAGUUUUCCCUAAAUUUAUGUUUGUUUUAAUGUUAUAUAAGAGAAGCUUGGGAGAUUUUAAAGGAUAUAACAAAAAAAAGAGAAAGAGAAAAAAUACAACUUUUGGUGGAAAAGGAAAAGGAAAACCUAACAUUAUGUAGAAUUAUUAAUUUUGCUUUCGCUGUGGAUGUAAGAAAUAUAUGUUAAAACGUUACCGUUUAUCGAAGGAGAUUGGCGAGAAAAUGUUAGUAGUUUCGAUAUAAAAUAUAUACUACUGCAUCAUUGAACAUAUUUUAGCUGAUGGUAAAGAGUAGUAACUCUCAUAAAUAUUAAUCAUAGUAGAUAAUAAUAAUAAUAAUAAUAACAAUAAUACACACACACACAUUGUGAAGAGAAAAUAUAAAGACAUCACCACAACCACUUCUACCACAAUUAGUAAAUUGUUUUAAUUAUUGAUGCCGUUGUUGUGUAACUGUUAUUUUCAUUGAAAGGCUCUAGUUUAUUUUAUUAAGUUAUUACUUUUAUUUUUCCUAUUUUUCUAUUCGACGUUAUUAUUGUUGUCAUAGACGGCAGUGACAGCAGCAGUGACAGUUUUAGACGAUAUACACACACAUAUUUCAUACAUUAUAUAUACAUAUAUAUAUAUAUAUAUAUAUAUAUAUAUAUAUAUACAUACAUAUAUAUAUAUAUAUAUAUGUAUGUAUGUAUAUAUAUAUAUAUAUUCAGAGAAGUAGAGUGACAGUGUGACACUGAAAAGAGGAAGACAGCAGUAAGCGUGAUGCGGUUGCUGGAGAGAGAGAAAAACACAGAUACAGAGAGACGGAAAGACAGAGGAAAAGAGAGAGAUAGAAAAAGACAGUACAGAAAUCAAUACUUGAUUUUCUAUGCUUGCUUUAGCUACUAGUGUUCUAAACCCAGUCCCAUCAAGCUAGCUAUAUAAGAUAGCUAGUAGUGCAACGACUUUCUGCAAAGGAAUUUUCUAGUACUUUUCGUGCAGAAGGUUUUUUUUAACGCACUCACCUCUCUUCUCUUCAUUCCACCCUCUUCCUCGACUCAUUCGCCCUUAUAAACAAUAUUUUUAAUUAUAAAAUUAUCUAUUUUUAUUAGUUGUGUUAUCAUUCGUUUGUUGCUAAAUUUGUUGAUUUUCUUAUGUAAAAAAUAAAAUUGUUGAGUAAAUUAUAGAAAUAUCUAGAUAUUUAUGGGUUGAUGUUACAUAUCUUAAUCUCAAUAAUAAAGAGAAUUCAGGAUUAUUUUAAAUGUGAAGCAAUAUUUAGUGGAGGAGAACUGCAUACAUUUCUAAUCAAAUAUAUAGACGAAUACAUCACAUACAGAUUUAGAUUCUAAACUUUGGUAAACAUACAUACAUAUACUAAGCCUUUAUGCAUUGAAGGUAGAUUUCGAGCAAUUUACUACACAUUGGUUUUCAUUUCUAAAACAAAUUUGCUUAGAAAGACGAGCUGAUAGUAAUUAUAAUAAUUAUAAUUAGAAAUAAGUACAAACAUUAUUGUUACUGUUAUUAUUAUUAUUACAGUUGUCGUCGUCAUUGUCAUUGCCAUUAUCGAUAUUCCUGCAACAGCUUAUUAUUCAUUCAAUGUACACCUAUAUACACAGUUAAGUAUAUGCAUUUAUUACAUAUACAUGCUUUCGCCAGUAUAUAUAGAAAACAAAACAAGACAUAUUCAAGCUCCAGUUUUGUAAUUAUGUGUAUAUAUAUAUAAAUUUACAUUUAUAUAUAAAUCCUUAUUUAAAAUAAAGCUAAUAGAACUGAAUGAAAGACAGUGGAUUACUAAAUAUACAUCCAAAUUUAAUUUAUGCUACUUUCGAAGUGUUAUUUCAUUCUCGUAUCGAACACAUUUCCUUCGAUCUAUAAGUCUCAGACUCGCCUAACUCUGUUUUUAUAGACUUUUCGUUAACAAUAUAUGCAAAAUGUAAACUGUAAAUGAAUCUAAUUCAUUCGCAUAUGUUGCUGUGUGUAGAUGUAGAAUAUUAAUAAAAACUCAAUAUUUGUCUCUACUACUCAGAUAUAUAUACAUCUGUAUCUAUAUAUAUAUAGAAAAAAUAUAUAGAUAGAUAAAUAGAUAGAUGUAAAUGUAUGCGUGUAUGUAUGUAUGAACCAGAGAAACUACUUUUCUGGCUUCUAGGCACAUCUGCUAUUAACUAGUAUGUGUUUAGUGACUUGUACUAACAUACAUUUGGUACUAUGACUAUAUAUAAAUGUAUAUGCCUUUAAAAAUAUAAUUCUAUUGAAGGCUUUGAAGUUGUUGAACCAAAUCGUAAAACUUUUUCGGAGUUGCUAAAGAAAACAACGACUUCAAAAACAGAUGAAAUAAAGGAAAGAAAUGUAAAUCUAGAUUUACAAAAAAUAUUAAAUUCCCAUGACAAAAAUGUAAAUCAAAAGACUAUAAUUACUAAAUAUUGGAAGUUCACCCCAAAAACAUUACAAGAACGAAAUAUAUUAACGUUGGAUUUUAUUUUAUAAUAAAAGCAUAAAAACGUGUGCAUUUCGUUACAAACGCAAGGAUUUUAUGAUAAAUUCAAUUAUUUGGAAUUGAAUACAUAAAAUUGGAAACCUCGUCAAUUUAGGGAGUAAUGGAAUCUCAGAAAGAGGUAUAUCAGUUCGGAUUACUGAAGAUAAUGCAUUAACCGGAACAAAACAAAUUGAAAGAAGAGGAUAAAGCUUCGCACCAGGAUAUAUUAUCAUUAAAAUUUAAUCAAUUGAAAUCUCUGUCCAAAAUCGUAGGUAUAUAUUUACAUAUAUAUGUGUUUAUAUUGUCUAGUUUAACAUCAAGGGGUUCACAGGAUAAAACAGAUAAAAUUUUCAAAUUUUAAAGAAUUACAAAUAUUUCGUUUUAUCUAAGUUUCAAAACGAAAAAUAAACAAGAGGAGUGAAAAUACAACCCCAGAACAUUCAAACAUACACAUACAUAUUUAUAUAUAUACCAACUCAUUCUUGAUAUAAGAUUAUAGAUUUUUAUAAAUACAUAUAUAUAUAUAUAUAUAUAUAUAUAUAUAUAUAUAUAUAUAUAUAUAUAUAUAUAUAUCUGAAAGUGUAUAAUAAAAAUUAGAUUUUUAUUAAUCACUAUUCAAAUUCUUAGUAAAACAACCACAAGACCGUCCGUGAAAUCGGUGUAAUUUUGGAAACAUUCUUUCGAUUCGGAGUAACAAGUCAACAAAAUAUUUUAAGAACAUUUCAACACAAACAAAAUUAAAAGAUUAUAUUUCAUAUAUAUGUGUGUAUAUAUAUAUAUAUAUAUAUAUAUAUAUGUAUAGAUAUAUAUAUAUAGAUAUAUAUAUAUAAAAUCAGUGUUAAAUACAUAGAUGAUUUUAUGUGUCUACGAAAAAAAUUACACCGUAAAUCGACCACAGAAACAAAUUAAUAAAAAUUACAACCGAAUUUGCGACGGAUACAGCUAAUUGCUAAUUUAUUAUAUUCUAUAGGAACUUAUCAAUGACCUAAUAAUACUUUGAGUAAAUAACAUAACACAUAUAUAGAAAGAAAACACUUCUCUAUAUGUAAAAUACAUAAAAUAUAUAGAAAUAUAUGUAUGUAUGCAUGUAUAUUUGAAAGUGUAUAACAUAUAUGCAUACUUAUAUAUAUCUGUGUGUAUACAAGUAUCAACAUAAAACAUUACUUUGGAUAUACUCAAAGGUAAGUA